rnacentral:rRNA from 1 species
GCGGGCGUAGCAAUACGUCAGCGGCAGACGGGUGAGUAACGCGUGGGAACGUACCUUUUGGUUCGGAACAACACAGGGAAACUUGUGCUAAUACCGGAUAAGCCCUUACGGGGAAAGAUUUAUCGCCGAAAGAUCGGCCCGCGUCUGAUUAGCUAGUUGGUGAGGUAACGGCUCACCAAGGCGACGAUCAGUAGCUGGUCUGAGAGGAUGAUCAGCCACAUUGGGACUGAGACACGGCCCAAACUCCUACGGGAGGCAGCAGUGGGGAAUAUUGGACAAUGGGCGCAAGCCUGAUCCAGCCAUGCCGCGUGAGUGAUGAAGGCCCUAGGGUUGUAAAGCUCUUUUGUGCGGGAAGAUAAUGACGGUACCGCAAGAAUAAGCCCCGGCUAACUUCGUGCCAGCAGCCGCGGUAAUACGAAGGGGGCUAGCGUUGCUCGGAAUCACUGGGCGUAAAGGGUGCGUAGGCGGGUCUUUAAGUCAGGGGUGAAAUCCUGGAGCUCAACUCCAGAACUGCCUUUGAUACUGAGGAUCUUGAGUUCGGGAGAGGUGAGUGGAACUGCGAGUGUAGAGGUGAAAUUCGUAGAUAUUCGCAAGAACACCAGUGGCG